UUCCGGUUGAUCCCGCCGGACCUGACUGCUAUCGGAUUGAUACUAAGCCAUGCGAGUCAUUGUAGUAAUACAAGGCAGACGGCUCAGUAACGCGUAGUCAACCUAACCUAUGGACGGGGAUAACCUCGGGAAACUGAGAAUAAUACCCGAUAGAACAUUAUGCCUGGAAUGGUUUAUGUUUCAAAUAAUUUAUUGCCGUAGGAUGGGACUGCGGCCUAUCAGUUUGUUGGUGAGGUAAUGGCCCACCAAGACUAUUACAGGUACGGGCUCUGAGAGGAGUAGCCCGGAGAUGGGUACUGAGACACGGACCCAGGCCCUAUGGGGCGCAGCAGGCGAGAAAACUUUGCAAUGUGCGAAAGCACGACAAGGUUAAUCCGAGUGGUUUCUGCUAAAGGAACCUUUUGCCAGUCCUAGAAACACUGGUGAAUAAGGGGUGGGCAAGUUCUGGUGUCAGCCGCCGCGGUAAAACCAGCACCUCAAGUGGUCAGGAUGAUUAUUGGGCCUAAAGCAUCCGUAGCCUGCUUUGUUAGUUUUCGGUUAAAUCCAUUCGCUCAACGAAUGGGCUGCCGGGAAUACUGCAAAGCUAGGGAGUGGGAGAGGUAGACGGUACUCGGUAGGAAGGGGUAAAAUCCUUUGAUCUAUUGAUGACCACCUGUGGCGAAGGCGGUCUACCAGAACACGUCCGACGGUGAGGGAUGAAAGCUGGGGGAGCAAACCGGAUUAGAUACCCGGGUAGUCCCAGCUGUAAACUAUGCAAACUCAGUGAUGCAUUGGCUUGAUGCCAAUGCAGUGCUGCAGGGAAGCCGUUAAGUUUGCCGCCUGGGAAGUACGUACGCAAGUAUGAAACUUAAAGGAAUUGGCGGGGCAGCAC
rnacentral:rRNA from 1 species